rnacentral:rRNA from 1 species
UACGGGGGGGGCAAGCGUUGUUCGGAAUUACUGGGCGUAAAGGGCUCGUAGGCGGCCAACUAAGUCAGACGUGAAAUCCCUCGGCUUAACCGGGGAACUGCAUCUGAUACUGGAUGGCUUGAGUUCGGGAGAGGGAUGCGGAAUUCCUGGUGUAGCGGUGAAAUGCGUAGAUAUCUGGAGGAACACCGGUGGCGAAGGCGGCAUCCUGGACCGACACUGACGCUGAGGAGCGAAAGCCAGGGGAGCAAACGGG